rnacentral:misc_RNA from 1 species
GAUGAAGAACGCAGCGAAAUGCGAUAAGUAAUGUGAAUUGCAGAAUUCAGUGAAUCAUCGAAUCUUUGAACGCACAUUGCGCCCGCCAGUAUUCUGGCGGGCAUGCCUGUUCGAGCGUCAUUUCAACCAUCAAGCCCCCGGCUUGUGUUGGGGACCUGCGGCUGCCGCAGGCCCUGAAACCAGUGGCGGGCUCGCUAGUCACUCCGAGCGUAGUAAUACAUCUCGCUCAGGGCGUGCUGCGGGUUCCGGCCGUUAAAAAGCCUUAUUUACCCAAGGUUGACCUCGGAUCAGGUAGGAAGACCCGCUGAACUUAAGCAUAUCAAUAAGCGGAGGA